rnacentral:rRNA from 1 species
GACGAACGCUGGCGGCGUGCUUAACACAUGCAAGUCGAGCGGUAAGGCCCUUUCGGGGGUACACGAGCGGCGAACGGGUGAGUAACACGUGGGUGACCCUGCCCUCAGCUCUGGGAUAAGCCUGGGAAAACCGGGUCUAAUACCGGAUAUGACUCCAUGACGCAUGUUGUGGGGUGGAAAGCCUUGUGCGGCUGAGGAUGGGCCCGCGGCCUAUCAGCUUGUUGGUGGGGUGAUGGCCUACCAAGGCGACGACGGGUAGCCGGCCUGAGAGGGCGACCGGCCACACUGGGACUGAGACACGGCCCAGACUCCUACGGGAGGCAGCAGUGGGGAAUCUUGCGCAAUGGGCGAAAGCCUGACGCAGCGACGCCGCGUGAGGGAUGACGGCCU